rnacentral:rRNA from 1 species
AACGAACGCUGGCGGCAUGCCUAACACAUGCAAGUCGAACGAGACCUUCUGGUCUAGUGGCGCACGGGUGCGUAACGCGUGGGAACCUGCCCUUAGGGUCGGAAUAACUCCCCGAAAGGGGUGCUAAUACCGGAUAAUUUCUUCGGACCAAAGAUUUAUCGCCUUUGGAUGGGCCCGCUUUGGAUUAGCUAGUUGGUAGGGUAAAAGCCUACCAAGGCGAAGAUCCAUAGCUGGUCUGAGAGGAUGAUCAGCCACACUGGGACUGAGACACGGCCCAGACUCCUACGGGAGGAAGCAGUGGGGAAUAUUGGACAAUGGGCGAGAGACUGAUCCAGCAAUGCCGCGUGAGUGAUGAAGGACUUAGGGUUGUAAAGCUCUUUUACCCGGGAUGAUAAUGACAGUACCGGGAGAAUAAGCGCCGGCUAACUCCGUG